CAACCAGCUUCAUUUUGUUUGCAAAGACAUACACUCACCCAUUUCUCUCUUGAUACCAGACACUGAGCUUGCAAGACACCAACAUUCAACCGCCGGGUAAACGUCAAAACCAUCUCAACGCCAAAGAAGGUGUUCAUCUUCAUCGAAAACCCGGGGUGAUCAAAUUCAUGUCACCACUAGGAGUCGAGACUUUAAAGAUUGGAUAGACCAAGUAAAGGAACAUGAAACUUAUUAUCUUUAUAAUGGGGAGCCUGUGGUUAAUGAUGGCCCUUUCAAAGUAUGUUCCAACCAACUCAAGCUUCUCUUUAAUGGAGGGACUACCUCACCAAUGUGGACAUACCAGAAAUUCCACCUCAUAAAUUCAACUUUCAUGCCAUUGAAAACUUUUCCAAUGGACGUUUCAAACCUGAUAUGUUGUAUGAUGUUAUUGGUGUUUUACAAGAUGUCAUUAAAGACACAAAUGGGAGGUGGCGGUAAGAAGUCGUGUACCAAUAUCACGAUACGUGACAUUGAAGGAAAUGCCAUUGAGGUUGCUUUGUGGGAUGGAAGAAAGAUCAAGCAUAUCAAGGAGUGAUAUUAGAUUUAUUUUGAUGAAUAAUUGUCUUCACAUCCUUUUUGUACUGAUUGAUUCCAUUCUUUUUUGAAUGCUAACUGUUUUAUGGGUGUAACUAUGCAUCUUUUAUGAACUAUGAUCCAAACUUGGCUACUAAACUUGCAAUUGUC